rnacentral:rRNA from 1 species
UAGGGAAUCUUCGGCAAUGGACGAAAGUCUGACCGAGCAACGCCGCGUGAGUGAAGAAGGUUUUCGGAUCGUAAAACUCUGUUGUUAGAGAAGAACAAGGACGUUAGUAACUGAACGUCCCCUGACGGUAUCUAACCAGAAAGCCACGGCUAACUACGUGCCAGCAGCCGCGGUAAUACGUAGGUGGCAAGCGUUGUCCGGAUUUAUUGGGCGUAAAGCGAGCGCAGGCGGUUUCUUAAGUCUGAUGUGAAAGCCCCCGGCUCAACCGGGAAGGGUCAUUGGAAACUGGGAGACUUGAGUGCAGAAGAGGAGAGUAGAAUUCCAUGUGUAGCGGUGAAAUGCGUAGAUAUAUGGAGGAACACCAGUGGCGAAGGCGGCCCCCUGGACAAAGACUGACGCUCAGGUGCGGAAGCGUGGGGAGCAAACAGG